ensembl:ncRNA H32C10.100 ncRNA
AUAUUAUAUAUAUAUAUAUAUAUAUAUAUAUAUAUAUAUAUAUAUAUAUAUAUAUAUAUAUAUAUAUAUAUAUAUAUAUGUUUUUGACAUACUCCUUUAGUUGGUAUU